UACGUAGGGGGCAAGCGUUGUCCGGAAUCAUUGGGCGUAAAGCGCGCGUAGGCGGCCCGAUAAGUCCGCUGUAAAAGUCCAGGGCUCAACCCUGGAAAGCCGGUGGAUACUGUCGGGCUAGAGUCCGGAAGAGGCGAGUGGAAUUCCUGGUGUAGCGGUGGAAUGCGCAGAUAUCAGGAGGAACACCAGUGGCGAAGGCGGUUGCCUGGAGCUUUGCUGACGCUGAUGCGCGAAAGCGUGGGGAGCGAUCCGG
rnacentral:rRNA from 1 species